UACGGGGGGUGCGAGCGUUGUCCGGAAUCACUGGGCGUAAAGGGCGCGUAGGUGGUUUGAUAAGGGUGUGGUGAAAGUCCGGAGCUCAACUCCGGAUCUGCCGUGCCGACUGUCAAACUCGAGGGCUGUAGAGGCAGACGGAAUUCCGGGUGUAGCGGUGGAAUGCGUAGAGGUCCGGAGGAAGACCGGUGGCGAAGGCGGUCUGCUGGGCAGUUUCUGACACUGAGGCGCGACAGCGUGGGGAGCAAACAGG
rnacentral:rRNA from 1 species